rnacentral:tRNA from 1 species
AGGAUUUUAAGUUAUUUAAACUAGCAGCCUUCAAAGCUACCAAAAAAAGUUUUACCCUUUUAAAUCCUAA